ACGGAAGGCAGCAGUGGGGAAUAUUGGACAAUGGGCGAAAGCCUGAUCCAGCGACGCCGCGUGAGUGAAGAAGUAUUUCGGUAUGUAAAGCUCUAUCAGCAGGGAAGAUAAUGACGGUACCUGACUAAGAAGCACCGGCUAAAUACGUGCCAGCAGCCGCGGUAAUACGUAUGGUGCAAGCGUUAUCCGGAUUUACUGGGUGUAAAGGGUGCGUAGGUGGUAUGGCAAGUCAGAAGUGAAAACACGGGGCUCAACCCCGUGACUGCUUUUGAAACUGUCAAACUAGAGUGCAGGAGAGGAAAGCGGAAUUCCUAGUGUAGCGGUGAAAUGCGUAGAUAUUAGGAGGAACACCAGUGGCGAAGGCGGCUUUCUGGACUGUAACUGACACUGAGGCACGAAAGCGUGGGGAGCAAACAGGAUUAGAUACCCUGGUA
rnacentral:rRNA from 1 species